rnacentral:rRNA from 1 species
UCCGUAGGGUGAACCUGCGGAGGGAUCAUUACUGAGUUUACGCUCUAUAACCCUUUGUGAACAUACCUAUAACUGUUGCUUCGGCGGGUAGGGUCUCCGUGACCCUCCCGGCCUCCCGCCCCCGGGCGGGUCGGCGCCCGCCGGAGGAUAACCAAACUCUGAUUUAACGACGUUUCUUCUGAGUGGUACAAGCAAAUAAUCAAAACUUUUAACAACGGAUCUCUUGGUUCUGGCAUCGAUGAAGAACGCAGCGAAAUGCGAUAAGUAAUGUGAAUUGCAGAAUUCAGUGAAUCAUCGAAUCUUUGAACGCACAUUGCGCCCGCCAGCAUUCUGGCGGGCAUGCCUGUUCGAGCGUCAUUUCAACCCUCAAGCUCUGCUUGGUGUUGGGGCCCUACAGCUGAUGUAGGCCCUCAAAGGUAGUGGCGGACCCUCCCGGAGCCUCCUUUGCGUAGUAACUUUACGUCUCGCACUGGGAUCCGGAGGGACUCUUGCCGUAAAACCCCCAAUUUUCCAAAGGUUGACCUCGGAUCAGGUAGGAAUACCCGCUGAACUUAAGCAUAUCAAUAAGCGGAGGA